AGCCGGCCCAACGGCCGGGUAAUACCGCAUACGAUCGAGACCAGGCAUUUGGACUCGAUGAAAUCUACGGAGCAAUUCGAGGGGCUCGCGGCCUAUCAGCUAGUUGGUGGGGUAACGGCUCACCAAGGCGACGACGGGUAGCUGGUCUGAGAGGAUGGCCAGCCACAUUGGGACUGAGAUACGGCCCAGACUCCUACGGGAGGCAGCAGUGGGGAAUCUUGCGCAAUGGCCUAACGGCUGACGCAGCGACGCCGCGUGAGGGAUGACGCUCUUCGGAGUGUAAACCUCUUUUGCCCGGGACGAAUUGCCAGUUUUCACUGGCUUGACGGUACCGGGUGAAUAAGCACCGGCUAACUCCGUGCCAGCAGCCGCGGUAAUACGGGGGGUGCGAGCGUUGUCCGGAAUCACUGGGCGUAAAGGGCGCGUAGGUGGUCUGAUAAGGGUGUGGUGAAAGCCCGGGGCUCAACCCCGGGUCGGCCGUGCCGACUGUUGGACUAGAGUGCUGUAGGGGCAGGCGGAAUUCCGGGUGUAGCGGUGGAAUGCGUAGAGAUCCGGAGAAGACCGGUGGC
rnacentral:rRNA from 1 species